AGAGUUUGAUCAUGGCUCAGGACGAACGCUGGCGGCGUGCCUAACACAUGCAAGUCGAACGAGAAGUCCGGAACGGAGCCUUCGGGCAAAGGGAAGGACGGACAGUGGCGGACGGGCGAGUAACGCGUGAGUAACCUGCCCGGAAGUGAGGGAUAGCCCUUGGAAACGAGGAGUAAUACCACAUGAGGAUAUUCAGCCGCAUGGAUGGAUAUUGAAAGAUUUAUCGCUUACGGAUGGACUCGCGUCAGAUUAGGUAGUUGGUGAGGUAACGGCUCACCAAGCCGACGAUCUGUAGCCGAACUGAGAGGUUGAUCGGCCGCAUUGGGACUGAGACACGGCCCAGACUCCUACGGGAGGCAGCAGUGGGGAAUAUUGCACAAUGGGGGGAACCCUGACGCAGCAACGCCGCGUGCAGGAAGAAGGUCUUCGGAUUGUAAACUGUUGUCGCAGGGGAAGAAGGAAGUGACGGUACCCUGUGAGAAAGUCACGGCUAACUACGUGCCAGCAGCCGCGGUAAUACGUAGGUGACAAGCGUUGUCCGGAUUUACUGGGUGUAAAGGGCGCGUAGGCGGGAUAGCAAGUCAGGAGUGAAAUACCGAUGCUCGACAUCGGAACUGCUUUUGAAACUGUUAUUCUUGAGUAUCGGAGAGGAAAGCGGAAUUCCCAGUGUAGCGGUGAAAUGCGUAGAUAUUGGGAGGAACACCAGUGGCGAAGGCGGCUUUCUGGACGACAACUGACGCUAUGCGCGAAAGUGUGGGGAGCAAACAGGAUUAGAUACCCUGGUAGUCCACACCGUAACG
rnacentral:rRNA from 1 species